UACAGAGGGGGCAAGCGUUGUUCGGAAUUACUGGGCGUAAAGGGCGCGUAGGCGGCCUGCUAAGUCGAACGUGAAAUCCCCGGGCUCAACCCGGGAACUGCGUCCGAUACUGGCAGGCUUGAAUCCGGGAGAGGGAUGCGGAAUUCCAGGUGUAGCGGUGAAAUGCGUAGAUAUCUGGAGGAACACCGGUGGCGAAGGCGGCAUCCUGGACCGGUAUUGACGCUGAUGCGCGAAAGCCAGGGGAGCAAACGGG
rnacentral:rRNA from 1 species